UCUCUGGUUGAUCCUGCCAGUAGUCAUAUGCUUGUCUCAAAGCUUAAGCCAUGCAAGUGUCAGUACAUACUAAAUUAAAGUGAAACCGCAAAGGGCUCAGUAAACCAGUUUUAAUUUACUAGAGUUUUCACGUUUCGUACGUGGAUAACUGUGGUAAUUCUAGAGCUAAUACAUGCAACUAAGUCCGGACCAGAAAUGGAAAGGACGCUUUUAUUAGAUCAAAACCAUUCGCCCGGCUUGUCUGGGCGUUGUUUUGGUGAAUCUAGAUAACACUUGUGAUCGUACAGUCACCGUACUGACGACAUCUCUUUCAAACGCCUGACUUAUCAGCUGUCGAUGGUAGACUCUGUGUCUACCAUGGCCCUCACGGGUAACGGGGAAUCAGGGUUCGAUUCCGGAGAGGGAGCCUGAGAAACGGCUACCACAUCCAAGGCAGGCAGCAGGCACGCAAAUUACCCACUCCCGGCACGGGGGGGUGUGACAAAAAAUAACGAUACGGGACUCUAUUGAGGCCCCGUAAU
rnacentral:ncRNA from 1 species